rnacentral:misc_RNA from 1 species
GAAUUGAAUUCUUGUAAAAUUCUACAUUCCAAAGGGGUUAGAAUUCCUGUUCCUAACAUAUCCACAAAGUUGAAAAAACAAUUAUACAAGUUCAGCGCAAAAUGUUUCAACAUCUUUGCCUAACGAAUAAUUUUAAGAAAAUAUAGAUCAAUUAAUGAAAGAAAAUUCACCCAAGUAGCUAUGCAAAAUAGUGAUGCAAAAUGUCUCCAAGUUGACAAACUAUUUAAACAAGGAAGAGUGCUGCAACAUCUUUGCCCAAGGAAUAAUUUUAAUGAAAAAAAUAGAUAAACAAACAAAAGAAAACAUACCAAAUAAAAGAAAAUGAAACCAGAAAAAUCAUAUGAAAGUAUGUGCCAAAUAUUAGGCAAAGAGCACAAAGAUAAGACAAAUGAACUGGGAUCAUACUGUCACAGAAAACAAUUUUAUCCUGAUAUAACAGGGUAUUACAGCUGCCCUUCCAGUUAGAUCAUACCACCACUGAAUAAUUUUAUCCAGAUGGAACUGAGAGUAUUACAGGUGCCCUUCCAGGCAGAUCAUAACAAUUCCUGAAUAUAAUUUCACAACAAUCACGCAAAUGAACUAAUAAAUUAGUUGACCAUUCAGCAUUGCUUUGAAGAAGCAGGACCUAUAUGAAGCAUCAAACUGAAGCAUUCAACUUAUUUAUGCACUCCAUCCAAAUUUUGUUUGCACCCAGAAACACACAAGAAAAGGAAAAUUCCCCCUCCCUCUAUUAUAAAAACAGAGGUCACAGCACUUUGUAUAAAUAUGGAAGAAACGAAGCACAAAAGAACGAAGAGAAGGGGAUAUUGAGGAGGAAAAAUCUCCAAAAAAGUAAAGCCAAAAAGAAAUAUUUGAUAGGUUUUGAAUACCAAGGAUAUGGGAUCAUUAAUCACAGGAUCAACUGUAGACAUAUUUGUGAUGUUUUUAUUAGACACAUUGCAGUCAAAAAGACACAGACUACAGCAAAAUUCUAGCUUUUCAAUUAGAGCCUGGAGAUGGC